GAUGAACGCUGGCGGCGUGCCUAAUACAUGCAAGUCGAGCGAAUGGAUUAAGAGCUUGCUCUUAUGAAGUUAGCGGCGGACGGGUGAGUAACACGUGGGUAACCUGCCCAUAAGACUGGGAUAACUCCGGGAAACCGGGGCUAAUACCGGAUAACAUUUUGAACCGCAUGGUACGAAAUUGAAAGGCGGCUUCGUCUGUCACUUAUGGAUGGACCCGCGGCGCAUUAGCUAGUUGGUGAGGUAACGGCUCACCAAGGCAACGAUGCGUAGCCGACCUGAGAGGGUGAUCGGCCACACUGGGACUGAGACACGGCCCAGACUCCGACGAGAGGCAGCAGUAGGGAAUCUUCCGCAAUGGACGAAAGUCUGACGGAGCAACGCCGCGUGAGUGAUGAAGGCUUUCGGGUCGUAAAACUCUGUUGUUAGGGAAGAACAAGUGCUAGUUGAAUAAGCUAGCACCUUGACGGUACCUAACCAGAAAGCCACGGCUAACUACGUGCCAGCCGCCGCGGUAA
rnacentral:rRNA from 1 species